rnacentral:rRNA from 2 species
AAGCAUAUAAGUAAGCGGAGGACAAGAAACUAAACAGGAUCCCCAUAGUAAUGGCGAAUGAACCGGGAUAAACUCAGCAUGGAAAUUGGGGCCUUUGGCUUUGACUUGUAAUCUGGUGAGGCAUUGCCAACAGAGGCGCAUAUGUAAGUCUCUUGGAAAAGAGCAUCAACGAAGGUGAGAGUCCUGAUUGUCAUGUGCAGCCCCCCUGUGCACGGUGUGCCUUCUAAGAGUCACGUUCCUUGGGAUUGGAGCGCAAAUUGGGUGGUAACUUUCAUCUGAAGUUAAACAAUGGUUUGGGACCGAUAGGAAACAAGUACCAUGAGGGAAAGGUGAAAAGGACUUUGGAAAGAGAGUUAAAAGUGCCUGAAAUUGCUGAAGGGGAAGCGAAUGGAACCAGUAGUGCUGGGUGAGAUUGUCACAUGCUACAAGGAUUGGUUGCUGCCACAACGCAAGUGUGAUGGCGAUGUGUGAAUUGCUAGUGUGUGGUGUGUCUUACCUAGUGGGUCAUUGUGGGUUUAUGCAUUAAGAUAAGUCAAAGCAAGCGGGAGCAAGUUUACGAGUUUGUGAAUGUGUGUUGUUAUGCUUGUGCGUAAGCUUUAGUGUUUGUCUGGCUGCAGGGCUGUCCAUCCUCAAGCAGGACUUGUGGUUGCGAUGAGCAUAACCUUCUGCACAGAUCUUGACGAAAUGGUUUCAUUCGACCCGUCUUGAACCC